CAGUAGCCGCGGGAAUACAGAGGGUGGGAGCGUUAAUCGGAUUUACUGGGCGUAAAGCGUGCGUAGGCGGCUUCUUAAGUCGGAUGUGAAAUCCCUGAGCUUAACUUAGGAAUUGCAUUCGAUACUGGGAAGCUAGAGUAUGGGAGAGGAUGGUAGAAUUCCAGGUGUAGCGGUGAAAUGCGUAGAGAUCUGGAGGAAUACCGAUGGCGAAGGCAGCCAUCUGGCCUAAUACUGACGCUGAGGUACGAAAGCAUGGGGAGCAAACAGGAUUAGAUACCCCUGUAGUCCCUGUCUCUUAUAC
rnacentral:rRNA from 1 species